rnacentral:rRNA from 1 species
AGGGUUUGAUUAUGGCUCAGGACGAACGCUGGCGGCGUGCCUAACACAUGCAAGUCGAACGGAACUGUUUUGAAAGAUUUCUUCGGAAUGAAUUUGAUUUAGUUUAGUGGCGGACGGGUGAGUAACGCGUGAGUAACCUGCCUUCAAGAGGGGGACAACAGUUGGAAACGACUGCUAAUACCGCAUAAGCCCACGGGUCGGCAUCGACCAGAGGGAAAAGGAGCAAUCCGCUUUGAGAUGGCCUCGCGUCCGAUUAGCUAGUUGGUGAGGUAACGGCCCACCAAGGCGACGAUCGGUAGCCGGACUGAGAGGUUGAACGGCCACAUUGGGACUGAGACACGGCCCAG